UACGUAGGCAGCGAGCGUUGUUCGGAGUUACUGGGCGUAAAGGGUGUGUAGGCGGCUUGUCGCGUCGACUGUGAAAUCCCGCGGCUCAACUGCGGGUCUGCAGUCGAUACGGGCAGGCUAGAGUUCGGUAGGGGAGACUGGAAUUCCUGGUGUAGCGGUGAAAUGCGCAGAUAUCAGGAGGAACACCGAUGGCGAAGGCAGGUCUCUGGGCCACUACUGACGCUGAGAAGCGAAAGCAUGGGGAGCGAACAGG
rnacentral:rRNA from 1 species